AUUGAACGCUGGCGGCAGGCUUAACACAUGCAAGUCGAGCGGAGAGAGGUAGCUUGCUACUGAUCUUAGCGGCGGACGGGUGAGUAAUGCUUAGGAAUCUGCCUAUUAGUGGGGGACAACAUUUCGUAAGGAAUGCUAAUACCGCAUACGUCCUACGGGAGAAAGCAGGGGAUCUUCGGACCUUGCGCUAAUAGAUGAGCCUAAGUCGGAUUAGCUAGUUGGUGGGGUAAAGGCCUGCCAAGGCGACGAUCUGUAGCGGGUCUGAGAGGAUGGUCCGCCACACUGGGACUGAGACACGACCCAGACUCCUACGGGAGGCAGCAGUGGGGAAUAUUGGACAAUGGGGGGAACCCUGAUCCAGCCAUGCCGCGUGUGUGAAGAAGGCCUUAUGGUUGUAAAGCACUUUAAGCGAGGAGGAGGCUACUGAGACUAAUACUCUUGGAUAGUGGACGUUACUCGCAGAAUAAGCACCGGCUAACUCAGUGCCAGCCGCCGCAGUAA
rnacentral:rRNA from 1 species